GUAAUGCCACUGACAAUUAUAAUAACACUGGCAAUUGUAACUUUACCAUUGCUAUUUACGAUGAGACAGCCCCUAAUGUGACUUGCCCAGUUGACAUUGAGGUGUGCACGGACAUAGGAACAGAUUCAGUCGAUGCCACCUGGGAACCAGCCAAUGCAACCGACAACUGCUGUAGUGAAGUGAACAUAACUACUAACUACAGUAGCGGAAAUUCUCUGACAAUUGGUGUAUACACAGUAGGAUAUGCAGCAACAGAUUGUAAUGGGAAUGUUGGUUACUGUCAAUUUACUGUUGAAGUUAAAGAUUGUGAGCCUCCAGACCUUCAAUGUCCACCUAGCCAAAACGUAACAGGUAACGAUAACUGCUGGGCAAAUGUCACAUGGACAGCACCCUAUGUUACAGACAACUCUGGAGACUCUUUCACACCAGUAUGUGAUUAUAUUGGAAGCACAUUUUAUGAUGUCAGCACUG